AUUGAACGCUGGCGGCAUGCCUUACACAUGCAAGUCGAACGGUAACGGGCCUUCGGGUGCCGACGAGUGGCGAACGGGUGAGUAAUACAUCGGAACGUGCCCGAUCGUGGGGGAUAACGAGGCGAAAGCUUUGCUAAUACCGCAUACGAUCUACGGAUGAAAGCAGGGGGCCGCAAGGCCUUGCGCGGACGGAGCGGCCGAUGGCAGAUUAGGUAGUUGGUGGGAUAAAAGCUUACCAAGCCGACGAUCUGUAGCUGGUCUGAGAGGAUGAUCAGCCACACUGGGGCUGAGACACGGCCCAGACUCCUACGGGAGGCAGCAGUGGGGAAUUUUGGACAAUGGGCGCAAGCCUGAUCCAGCCAUGCCGCGUGCAGGAUGAAGGCCUUCGGGUUGUAAACUGCUUUUGUACGGAACGAAAAGCCUUCUUUUAAUACAGGAGGGUCAUGACGGUACCGUAUGAAUAAGCACCGGCUAACUACGUG
rnacentral:rRNA from 1 species